GUGUUUGCUUCGGCAGCACGUAUAUUAAAAUGAAUGAUACAGAGAUUAUCAGGCUGCCCUUGUGCAAGGAUGAUGCGCAAAUUCAUGAAGUGUUCCAUACUUUU